rnacentral:rRNA from 1 species
UGGGGAAUAUUGCACAAUGGGGGGAACCCUGAUGCAGCCAUGCCGCGUGAAUGAAGAAGGCCUUCGGGUUGUAAAGUUCUUUCGGUGACGAGGAAGGUUGAUAGGUUAAUAGCCUAUCAAAUUGACGUUAAUCACAGAAGAAGCACCGGCUAGCUCCGUGCCAGCAGCCGCGGUAAUACGGGGGGUGCGAGCGUUAAUCGGAAUAACUGGGCGUAAAGGGCACGCAGGCGGUGACUUAAGUGAGAUGUGAAAGCCCCGAGCUUAACUUGGGAAUUGCAUUUCAUACUGGGUCGCUAGAGUACUUUAGGGAGGGGUAGAAUUCCACGUGUAGCGGUGAAAUGCGUAGAGAUGUGGAGGAAUACCGAAGGCGAAGGCAGCCCCUUGGGAAUGUACUGACGCUCAUGUGCGAAAGCGUGGGGAGCAAACAGGAUUAGAUACCCUGGUAGUCCACGCUGUAAACGAUGUCGAUUUGGGGAUUGGGCUUUGAGCUUGGUGCCCGUAGCUAACGUGAUAAAUCGACCGCCUGGGGAGUACGGCCGCAAGGUUA